GCCCCGGUAGCUCAAUGGAUAGAGCGCUUGUCUUCGGAACAAGAGGUUAUAGGUUCGACUCCUAUCCGGGGUACCA
rnacentral:tRNA from 1 species